GGGUGCGAUCAAACCAGUACUAAUGCACUGGAUCCCAUCAGAACUCUACAGUUAAGCGUGCUUGGGUGAGAGUAGUAUUAGUAUGGGUGUCCCUAGGGAAGUCCUCGUGUUGCACCCU